UUAUUGAGCUUAGAACUUAAAAAGCAAUUAUAUCUAUAACAUGACUACUCUUUUGAAAUUAGAGGAACUUGUUAAAGAUUUGAUUAGAAAGGUAGAAAGUCUUUCUACAAACGAAAAUCUUGAGGCAACUGCCGCAAAAAUCAUCAAAGAUGUUUCAGACAAAAUUGAUGAAAGAAUGGAUUCAAAAACCUUUAUGCUCGAAAAGCAAAAAGAAAAAAUUAAUGAUGAAAAAAGCUUUCAAAAGUAUUCAUUUCCAAACUUCAACGUUGGAAAUCCAUCUCUAGGAAGUUCUAAAAGUCCAAAUGCAUUAUCAUGGCCUUUUGGAUCAAUUUCAAAUGACCAAUAAAGGUCAAAUGGAAAACCUUUUUAGAAAUAUAAAUCUAGAGAUCUCUAGACUUUAUUUCUGUCUAGAAAGAAAUAAUCAAAGAAUUUAUGAAUUACAUUCGGAUUGGAGCAUUCAUCCUUCUGAAAAAAUUCUUGAACUAACUGAUCUAAAAAGAAAAAUUCUUUUAUGAAAAAAGAUAUUCAAAGAUUAAAGGAUAAAAAGAUUACUUUAUCUUGUGGAUAAAAUGAGUUCUAUCACUCAAAAAUUGGAGCAAAUUUUAGAUGAACAAUCUGAUACCCUUCCAAUUGAACAGAUAAAAGAACUUGUUAGUCUCAUUACUUUAGAUAACGAAGAAUGUGAACAAAAGUUCUCUGAAGAUAAAAUCUUAAAUGAAAGAUAUUUUUCUAAAAAUAAAGAACGAAUCUUUGUUUUAAAUAAUGAAGAACCAAGAAACUUUCCUAUAAAGAAAGAAGAACCCGAAACUGAAGAAAGCUCUUCAGAUAUGGAAAUGUCUCCAAGACAGAGAGCAAACAAUGCUUUUACUAGCAGAAGUAACAGGCAUAGAAAAAAGGACACAGAAUUUUCCAUGCCAUGCCAUAAGGGUAUACCUGAUUCUAAUAGUAAUGGUAGUGCAACUACUAUUAAUACUAUUAAAAUUGAUUGUAUCUUCAACCUCGACAAAAGAAAAGAGGUAAUUGAUAAAUGGAACACUGAGAUCAGUCUAAUCAUUCAGACUAAUUCAGAAGAAUUCUCUAAGGCUAAGGCUUUAUUAUUAUUAUUAGAACAUAAGUCUGCAGGAAUUGUACAAAACUUCAUCAAAGGAACAACUUGGGAUGAAAAUUUACAAGGUGAGGAUCUUUUUGAUCAAAUUAUAAAUGCAAUAUAUAUGAUGUUUUUAGGUCUCGACCUCAUAACAGAUAAAGACCGAGAAAAUCAAAAAAUGCUAGAAAAAGCAAGACAAAAUCUUGCUAAAGCACAGCUUUGUGACAUAUGUCUUUUAGAUGAUUUCACUUGUCUUUAUGAAACAAAUUUAUAUAAAUUAGGCACAGGUGAAUUCCAUUCAUGGAUUGAGGCUUACCUAAUGAAAAUUCCCAUCGUAGGAGAAAAGGCGAAAGAACGAUGGAAUAAGGAAAAGAAUCAAUUUACAAUGCAUUCCCUUGGGUUUGCUACAAGAAUUGUUAAAGAAGAAAUUGCAUCCUAUUGUGAUCUUUCUAAUAAACAAAAACAGUUAAAACGUUUUAAUAAAGACUGUUGUAAAAAACUCGCUGAGUUACCACAAUUAUCUUUUGGUUGUGAACCAACAAAAGAUAAAGGUUAUUUCAAAAAGAAAUACAAAAAUAAAUAUAAAACAAAAACUAAAAAACGUUUUUGGAAAAGCAAGAAAAGAAAAUUUUCACCGGGAAAAUACUUUUCUAAAGAAAAACCUAAGGUCUGUCCUCAAGGUAAGAAAAAAUGUCGUUGUUGGAUAUGCUCCAAAGAAGGACAUUAUGCCAACGAAUGUCCCAACCGACAAAAAUUUCCGGAAAAGAUUAAAUUUAUCUUAGAAGCCGAAAUUGAGGGAUAUUUUCCUUCUGAAAAUAUUUUUGAUGGCUAUACGCAAGUAUAUGCAUUAGAAAUACGAGACAACUUGUCAUCCUCUCCACUCUUUUAUUUUGAUUUUGGCAGGUAUUGCUAAAUGAAGAAUCUCAGUUAUUAACUACAUCCACAUGCCCAAGAUGAUCAUUAUCAAUAAAAAGAAAAAGGUAGUCAUGUCAGAUGACAAAUGUGGUUUUCAAGAUAUUCUCUCGACAUCGAGCAUCUUGAAUAAGAUCUUCAAAAUACGUAAACAAAUACGUAUUUCAAAUAAAUUUUUUCUAAAAAUAGAAACUUUUCAUGCCUAUUUAAGGAGCACAUACCCUUCAAACUAAAGGCAUCACCAAUCACUUUCACAAACAGAAAAACUUAUUUUUUGAAAAAAUGGAGAAUUUAAAGGCUUUACGCCUAAAAGAAAAAAUUCUUUUGAUAGAACUAAAAGCUAUUCGAGAUCAGAUAGCUCUCUAUGACGAAAGUCUAGAAACAACUGCUAAUUCAGAGCAGGAAUCCGCUAGGAAACAAUCUGAAUCUAUUCCCCCUCAAACGGCAAAGGGUAAAGAAAUAUCAAGUCCGUUCACUCCUGUUGCUUUGGAAAAAAGCAAAAAUAGAGUAAAUGAAGAACUAAAAUCUUCAUCUAGCCCAGAAGCAAACGGCUCUGGUAAAGGCACAUCAAAUCCGUUGAUGGCUGACAGUUUGCCAAAAACUGAAAAGGUCUCUCUCAGACCAAGUUACUCCCAAGUCACACAAAAACCAGAAAAUCCUAAAAAUACCAGAUUUUAUGUCAUUUUUGAUGGUGACCAUAGAGGAAUUUAUGAAGAUUGGGCCAUAGUCAAAAAUUAUGUUGAAAAAACUGACUAUCCAUUCAAAAAAUUUGGGUCGUUAUUACAAGCCCAACAAGAAGCCACCCGAUAUUCAGCAACAUGCGGGAAAAAAGAAAUACCUUUAAAGGUGCAAACCCAGAACUAGUUUCUCUAGCAUUCUCCGCUGGAUUAGCAAAGUUCAUCUACCCUUCUCCUAAUUUACUUGAAAUAAGUAAUUUAUCUGAAGGAAUGAAGAAAGCCAUCAAGAAUUUUCGAAAGAAAAUUGCUGCUGCAAGAGAUGCAAACAUCUUCAUCAAGUGUACUUCUACACUCCCUGACUGGUACCAAGGAAAAACCUUUCCAAGCUACCAUCAUUUAGAAAUUGGCAUAGCCAAAGCAAGAACGGUCAAUCCUUCAAGGGUGAUAAAAAAAGACUAUGAAGACUAUGAAAAAUGGUUACAUAUCAGGACCAAAGGAUUUUUACAAAUCCUAGAAAACCUACAGAAAAUUAAAGUAGGAAGCUUUAACAAAGUAAAUUAUUGCAGCACUAACUGCAUAAUUACUAGCUAUAGUGGAACUCCUCUACCACUACAUGAAAAAGAAGCUUUAGAAAGGAUGGAGCAACGCAUCAUAUUCAAUAAAGUAGAAGCAGGCCCAGCCACUAAAGAACAACUUUGUCAAAAGUUGCAACGCACCUUUGAGAACCAUCAUUGCGAAUACUGCAAAGCAUCUUCUUCAGAAGAAAACAAAAACCCCACUGAAAAAGACAGCUACUUUUCAGAUGAGGACACUCGAGAACUGGACCCAACACAUGGGUACAUCGAUUGAAAAAACGUUAUCCAUGACGAUUGAUUAAGGGCUAUAAUGGUCUUUUGUAAAAUUCACUUCUAUUAUAUAAAGAAGUUGAAUUCCUUUAGUUUAGAGAUCGAAUCCAAUCCCCAUCCCCUUCUCUCGUAUCAUUUUCCUUUUCCAACUUUUCCUUUGUAAACUAGUAUGAGUGUUAGUGAGUAAUCUCCUUGCUAAAGGAGAAUAUUAUGUAAAUAUCAAGAAGUUCUUCCUUAGGGAAGAACAGUUAUGAAUAAAUAUCAGUUUCCUUUUUA